rnacentral:tRNA from 1 species
AGUAAGAGUGGCUGAGUGAAAGGCGAUAAAUUGUAAAUUUAUAAACGAGGUGGACCUCCUUUACUA